AGUACUUUCUGCAUUCUGUGCUCAUUAUUCAUUAUCUUUGUCCGAGUGCAUAUUUGCAAGAUAACUGAACAUUUAAUACCUGGAGACCCUAGCAUUCUUUCAUCGGUGCUCAUUUGCAUUCUCAUUAGUAUGCAUGAGAUUUUCAUUGAACUUUAGUACUCCUACUGGCACAUAAUGCACGGUAACAAGCGUAAAAGUGAGCUUACAAAUUAAGACUCCCAUUAAUCACUAAAUGUUACCACUAAAAUAAAACCGACCUAGAAUUUGCCAGCAGUAAAAUGUGGCAUGAAGCAUGUAACGCCUUGAAUCUCCACAGACAUUGAAAAUGACUGAUAUCCAUUCAAGAGCACUGCGGACAUGAGCUAAGGAAGUAACUGAGAUAAUCUAUCACUAGAUCUGGUGAUUUCGGUUUCAGUUACUGUAGGGGUAAACUGAGGCAGUCCAUGGUAUCUUGCUGAGAACUGACAACUCAAAUCCUAAAUCAUUAGACAAGCCUAGGAAUACAGCACAGCAGUUAACUUGACCCUGGUCACCCUGACAACCACAUUCUAAAAGGGCUUCACUUUGAUAAGCCCAAGUGGAAGAUUAUUCCUAUGAGGGUUGACAAGUGUUUCCUUGGCAGCACCAGAAGGAAGAAAGGAAAACAGGUCAAGUAUUAUACAAUUAUUGUUAGUUUCAAUAUGGAUCAUAUAUCAGUACUGGUGAGGAGGUGCUAUGUGCAACAGUAGAGUUAUGCUUCUUUUUAGGAUUUUUAUUCUAUGCUAUAAGGAGUGGGUUGGAAAACAGACACAGAUCUCUGUACAACAAUAAUUUGUGAUAGAGAAAGAGAUGAACUAUUUUAGUUUGCUAGUCACAUUUCUGUUCUUAAAGGGACACAGUUAAGGUUUGUCACUAUGAAAUAAAAUUGAUUAUACAAUGAGUAAAACAGAAGACCAAUGGCCAAGUGUUUCCAGCAACCAAAUAAUGCAGUGGUUUUUAUUUUAAAGGCACCAGGCCGAGAGAAAGACGACCCGGGACAGCAGCCUGCAAUAUCUGGAGCCCUGCCCAUUCUCUUACUCAAGCAGUCGUCCUCGCUUAUGGUCACUCUGCAGUAUUGCCGUCCCCCAUGCCUGUUGCUCCCCUCUGGUCAUUGCAGAGUAUAAUGGUUUCUAUCAGACCCCUCACUUUCCAUGUUAUGGGAAACAACUGGAUUCCACGGACAUUCCCAACUCCGAGUGAGGUCAUUCACCCACUCACAUACCAGAUCCUGAUACAAAGUGAAGCUGUAGGGCAUUUAUUUACUAUUUUCAGAAGUCAAUCACUAGACCACCAUGACUUCUAUCACAUAAGUCUUGGUGUCAGUCUCCUACUGGGUAGGCACUAUAUCUAGGGAUAAAAAUCUUUGUGCUGCCCAGGACAGGCAAAUUUCUCUCUCAGGUAGCGCUGACAGGGUUUUUAUAAUGUGGAAGAACACUAUCAGACAUACUAUCAUAACUAGAGCUUGUUUGUUAUGCACAGAGGCAGCAGUAUUCUGAGACAUCAAUGAAGGACUGUUUCAGCUGAUGAAUGCACUGCGCUCUCUUUCUGCUAUCUGUCCCCUGAACUGAAGAUCCUUUCAAAUACAAAUCUGAUACUCUGCAUUCAAAAUUUGUGGGAGUAGAAAAUAUGCAACUGAAGCUACAUCUGCCAAUGAAUGAGAUAGGAUGAUUGCACCUGGAAUACUUGGGAUUAGUGGUAGCUUUCAAAUAGUCAUAUGAACUCUGAAUCAUUGAAGCAUAUUUGCCUGGAGAAGAGAACUUCCAGUAAUCUCCAAUAAGCAUUGAAUUUUUAAUUGACAGACUAUCUUCUGUUUACAUUCUUUUGAGAUUUGACCUUGUACCUAAUAGUUUCCUUCUUCAGCCCUGAACUAUGACUUACUUCACUAGCGCUACUUGUCUGACCUGAAGCCAAGAUUUUCCAGGAACAAUAACUCUUUGCUUUAGCUUUUCUGUUCAGAAACUUGAUUUUAAAAACUGUUCUGGAAUAGAUGCACAAUUUUUCCUUCUGUAAAGUGAAUAUUAUGGCUACCAUGGUGUGGGAGCACAAAUAAUAUCAAAUGGCAGUGACAGAAAUUGGAUGGCAGCCUUUUUCUUUUCCCAUUUGCAAAAAACUGUCCAAAGAUGGUAAAUUAGGAGCUGACACAGGAAGCCCUUUCAUUCACUCAGCAUAUGCAAUAAAAAGCUGUAAGGACUUGCAAAAUGGUUUCGUCCUAUCUAUAUAGAACGCUAAGGCUUGCUUCAUGUCCAGGGAAUGUAACGCCUGCUCCUUAGGGGAGCGCUGCAGUUUGGGAAAGAAAACUGGGAGGUAUGUGUCCUGGGACAUAUGGAAGGCCAACACCACUUUCGGGAGAAACACCGAGUGGGGGCGUAACCCGACCCUAUCUCUUGAAAAGACUAAGUAGGGAGGCUCCAUAGUUAGGGCAUGGAGCUCCGAUACCCUCCGCGCCGACAUAAUGGCUACUAGAAACGCCACCUUAAAGUUCAGAUACUUAAGGGGGCAGGCACCCAAUGGCUCAAAGGGAGACCCUAUGAGCUUGGUCAGCACCAAAUUAAAGUCCCACUGAGGAACAGGGACCCUGACAUGGGGAAACAACUUUUCUAAACCUUUAAGGAACUGCUUAACCAGGGGGUCUGUGAAUAAUGAGCCGCCCUCAGAGCCGUCGUGGAAGGCUGUUAAAGCCGUCAGAUGCACCCGAAUCGAGAGAGCAGGCAGUCCCAUGCGGUGCAAACUAAACAAAUAGUCCAGGACCAUAGGAACAGGGGCCCGAGAGGGGCAAACCCCCUUUUCUGCAGCCCAGACCGAGAAGCGUUUCCACUUAGCUGCAAAGGCCCUCCUGGUAGUUGGCUUCCUACUGCCCAGGAGAACCUCCCACACCACCUGCGAGCACGCCCUUUCGGGGGCCUUCAGCCAUGGACAAGCCAAGCUGUCAGGUGGAGGGACUGGACAUCCGGGUGAUACAGGAUGCCCCCUUCCCUGGCCUGCGUGAUCAGGUUCCAGGUCAGUGGUAGGCAAAGUGGCCUGACCACCACCAUUUCCAGCAGAAUGGGAGAUCAGAACUGCCUGGGCCAGUCUGGAUCCACCAGAAUUAUUAGUAACCUGAACAGCCUGAUCCUGGUGAGCACCUUGGGAACCAGGGGGAAUGGCGGGAACACAUGUAGCUUCCCCCGAGGCCACGGUGAAGUUAGGGAGUCUCCCUUCGAGCCCGCCCCCAAGCCCAGGAUGGAG